rnacentral:rRNA from 1 species
UACGUAGGGGGCUAGCGUUGUCCGGAUUUAUUGGGCGUAAAGAGCGUGUAGGCGGCCAGGUAGGUCUGGUGUGAAAACUCGAGGCUUAACCUCGAGAUGUCAUCGGAAACCAUCUGGCUAGAGUCCGGAAGAGGAGAGUGGAAUUCCUGGUGUAGCGGUGAAAUGCGCAGAUAUCAGGAGGAACACCGGUGGCGAAGGCGGGUCUCUGGGCCGAUACUGACGCUGAGGAGCGAAAGCCAGGGGAGCAAACGGG